rnacentral:rRNA from 1 species
CAAAUUAAGUGCCAGCUGACGCGGUUAAACUUAAGGGCUGGUCUUUAUAAGUAAAAAGGCGUAGAGGAUGUGUAGGCCAAGAAAUUAUCUAAGAAGGUAAAUGGAAUUUUUCUGGAGCGGUAAAAUGUGAAGAUAGAAAAUAGAACACCUAAGGUUAAAACUAUUUACCACAAAAUAGGCUGAAACAUGAGAGAGUGGGGAGCAAACAGGAUUAGAGACCCUGGUAGUCCACUCUGUAAACUUUGAAGAUUAUGUUUAGCAGGCCCGAAAGGUAAAAUCUUCCGCCUGAGUAGUACGAUCGCAAGAUUAAAAUUCAAAAACUUUGGCUGUUCACUACUUCGAUUAGAGGAGCGUGUAGUUUAAUUCGAUGGUCCGCGUGUUACCUUACCCCAGCUUGAAUCUAUGACCGGUAUUGCAUGGCCGUCGUAAGUCCCUGUGUUAAACUAAAAGGGACCCAAUCCGGGCGUUUGCCUGAAGGAAGUCAGGUCUUAUGAUCCGAAUGUUGGGGGAUUUAUGCGCUACAUUUUCUUAUAUAAUGAGAGACUUGAGAGGUAAGCCUCUAAAGUAAGAGUUCGGAAGGUCGCUGUAAAACGACUGGAAGUUGGAUUUAAUAGUAAUC